AGUGAACGCUGGCGGUAGGCCUAACACAUGCAAGUCGAACGGCAGCACAGUAAGAGCUUGCUCUUACGGGUGGCGAGUGGCGGACGGGUGAGGAAUACAUCGGAAUCUACUUUUUCGUGGGGGAUAACGUAGGGAAACUUACGCUAAUACCGCAUACGACCUACGGGUGAAAGCAGGGGAUCUUCGGUCCUUGCGCGAUUGAAUGAGCCGAUGUCGGAUUAGCUAGUUGGCGGGGUAAAGGCCCACCAAGGCGACGAUCCGUAGCUGGUCUGAGAGGAUGAUCAGCCACACUGGAACUGAGACACGGUCCAGACUCCUACGGGACGCAGCAGUGGGGAAUAUUGGACAAUGGGCGCAAGCCUGAUCCAGCCAUACCGCGUGGGUGAAGAAGGCCUUCGGGUUGUAAAGCCCUUUUGUUGGGAAAGAAAAGCAGCAGGUUAAUACCCCGCUGUUCUGACGGUACCCAAAGAAUAAGCACCGGCUAACUUCGUG
rnacentral:rRNA from 1 species